GAUCCUGGCUCAGGACGAACGCUGGCGGCGUGCUUAACACAUGCAAGUCGAACGCUGAAGCCUGGCUUUUGUUGGGUGGAUGAGUGGCGAACGGGUGAGUAACACGUGAGUAACCUGCCCCCUUCUUUGGGAUAACGCCCGGAAACGGGUGCUAAUACUGGAUAUUCACUGGCCUUCGCAUGGGGGUUGGUGGAAGGUUGUUCUGUGGGGAGUGGGCUCGCGGCCUAUCAGCUUGUUGGUGGGGUGAUGG
rnacentral:rRNA from 1 species